rfam:Anaeromyxobacter sp. Fw109-5, complete genome.
GAGCCCAGGAUCCUCGGCCCUUUCAAGGCCGCAACCGGGGUUCGAAUCCCCGUGGGGUCA